GCAUCCAUGGCUGAAUGGUUAAAGCGCCCAACUCAUAAUUGGUAAAUUUGUUGCGUGAAAUUUUUGUAUGCA
rnacentral:tRNA from 1 species